rnacentral:tRNA from 1 species
GGGGAUUUAGCUGGGCAUAAGCGCCUGCCUUGCAAGCAGGCGGUCGUGAGUUCAAUCCCCG